rnacentral:rRNA from 1 species
ACAGUGGCGGACGGGUGAGUAAUGUGUAGAGAAUCUGCCCUUGAGCGGGGGACAACAGCUGGAAACGGUUGCUAAUACCCCAUAUGAUGCCGGUUGUGAUACCGGUAUUGAAAACUCCGGUGCUCAAGGAUGAGUCUGCAUCUGAUUAGCUAGUUGGGGGUGUAAUGGACCACCAAGGCGACGAUCAGUAGCUGGUUUGAGAGGAUGAUCAGCCACAAUGGGACUGAGACACGGCCCAUACUCCUACGGGAGGCAGCAGUAGGGAAUUUUGCGCAAUGGGGGCAACCCUGACGCAGCAACGCCGCGUGAUUGAUUAAGCCCUUCGGGGUGUAAAGAUCUGUCAGUGGGGACGAAAUAUGACGGUACCCACAGAGGAAGCACCGGCUAACUCCGUGCCAGCAGCCGCGGUAAUACGGAGGGUGCAAGCGUUGUCCGGAAUCAUUGGGCGUAAAGAGUUCGUAGGUGGCAUGUAAAGUCUGGUGUUAAAGGCAGAAGCUCAACUUCUGUAGGGCACUGGAUACUUGCAAGCUGGAAUGCGGUAGAGGUAAAGGGAAUUCCUGGUGUAGCGGUGAAAUGCGUAGAUAUCAGGAGGAACAUCGGUGGCGUAAGCGCUUUACUGGGCCGUAAUUGACACUGAGGAACGAAAGCCGGGGUAGCAAAUGGGAUUAGAUACCCCAGUAGUCCCGGCCGUAAACGAUGGAUACUAGGUGUUGCGGGUAUCGACCCCUGCAGUGCCGCAGCUAACGCGUUAAGUAUCCCGCCUGGGGAGUACGCACGCAAGUGUGAAACUCAAAGGAAUUGACGGGGACCC